rnacentral:rRNA from 1 species
GACAGAGGUGCCGAGCGUUAGGCGGAAUCACUGGGCUUAAAGCGUGUGUAGGCGGACUUGUAAGUACCUUGUGAAAUCCCACGGCUCAACCGUGGAACUGCUGGGUAUACUGCGAGUCUUGAGCCACCUAGGGGCGAGCGGAACAAGUGGUGGAGCGGUGAAAUGCGUAGAUAUCACUUGGAACGCCAAUGGUGAAAACAGCUCGCUGGGGGUGUGCUGACGCUGAGACACGAAAGCCAGGGGAGCAAACGGG